rnacentral:rRNA from 1 species
AACGAACGCUGGCGGCAUGCCUAACACAUGCAAGUCGAACGAGACCUUCGGGUCUAGUGGCGCACGGGUGCGUAACGCGUGGGAACCUGCCUUUAGGUUCGGAAUAACUCAGAGAAAUUUGAGCUAAUACCGGAUGAUGUCUUCGGACCAAAGAUUUAUCGCCUUUAGAUGGGCCCGCGUAAGAUUAGCUAGUUGGUGGGGUAAAGGCCUACCAAGGCGACGAUCUUUAGCUGGUCUGAGAGGAUGAUCAGCCACACUGGGACUGAGACACGGCCCAGACUCCUACGGGAGGCAGCAGUGGGGAAUAUUGGACAAUGGGCGAAAGCCUGAUCCAGCAAUGCCACGUGAGUGAUGAAGGCCUUAGGGUUGUAAAGCUCUUUUACCCGAGAUGAUAAUGACAGUAUCGGGAGAAUAAGCUCCGGCUAACUCCGUGCCAGCAGCCGCGGUAAAGUGACUACUG